AGCGUAGUUUGCUCGUGCUGAACACUGAGUGAGUAGGCUUCCAUAAGUGAAAGCGCAAUCGCUAUGGCAUGAUAACUGGCAGCAGUCUGAGACAACGUGGAAAAAAAGUUUAAUUUACUCAAUGAUCACCGCACAGGAAAAAUAAGUUCAGAUGAUCAGCUCAACAUGCAACAAUAGCAUAAAGAGAGGAAAAUUUGAAGAGACCUGGAUAUGAUCAGCUCCUAAGAGCCUCUUGUUGCAUUUCAGGGCUUCAUGGAGAUAGCGGAGAGCAAAGUUGACAUUUCCCAUCCCCUCUUCCAUCAUGGCUACGUUUAUAUAAGUUGCAGCGCUAUUUGGGUGGGAUAGUCCACACGUGAAAUGGAGCAAAAACAAAGCACGGUUGACAUACCUGGAAAAUAGGAUAUCAAAUUUGAUAUGUUAGAAGAGUUAGACAACAAGAGGGAUUGUCAAAUAGGAUAGCAAAGCAUGAAGGUUAGAGAAGAAAUUAUGCAUACUUGAGUGCUAAUUCAAUGUGUUGGAGACGAUAAUAGAAUACUGAAAGAUCCCCGUAACUCUUCAUAGUAUCAGGAUGAUCAGGCCCAAGUUCCCUUUCAUUGAUAUCUAAUGCCUUCUGCUGGUAUACGGUAGCCUGAAAAAAACAAGAAAUAACUAUGAUAUUCAUUUUCCUAGUAAUUACAUUGUUUCAGAGUUUAAUUUUGAUGGUAGGCAAACAUUGUUCAUUGACAAUCCAGCUAAAAAAACUGUAUGUUGAAAAGAUUACAUGACUUCAAAAGAAUGAUUACUCGUAUCAGAGAAUUAUAACAGUAA